CUGCAAAACAGAUCUGAAGAAGACAGGAGGAUACUCUUUGGAGAGAACCAGAAGCAAUAAAGCAGUAAUAAUACUUCAACAAGUACCACACUGCUAUGAAGCCUGUCAAGCACUGUGCAACACACAGCUCUGGAGUACUGGAGAAAGCAUCAACCCAGAACCCAAAGCCAGCACACCUUCUCCGGACUUACCAUGAGCCAUUCUACCUUAAAGGCACUGUCUCUGCUCAGAAUUAAUGCACUUCUAGGGGAAUGAAAUCAGCAGCAUGGAGAGAAGUGAUGGCCUUUUUGAUUCUCAAAUAAACAUUUCUCAGAGGGACCUUGUAAGUCCUCCAGGGAGUCUCACAGUGAUACAUUCAAAUGCCACCCAUCUGUACAAAUAUCAAUAUCUAAGUUUGUAAAAAAGACCUACAUUUUUCAAAGGAGGCCAUCAGAAAAGUACAUUAGACUCCCGCGCAUCGAUUGCUUUAUGCUGCCUCAUAAAAAUGGCUCCUG
ensembl:lncRNA